rnacentral:rRNA from 1 species
UACGAAGGGGGCUAGCGUUGCUCGGAAUCACUGGGCGUAAAGCGCACGUAGGCGGGUCCUUAAGUCAGGGGUGAAAUCCCGGAGCUCAACUCCGGAACUGCCUUUGAUACUGGGGAUCUUGAGUCCGGAAGAGGUGAGUGGAACUGCGAGUGUAGAGGUGAAAUUCGUAGAUAUUCGCAAGAACACCAGUGGCGAAGGCGGCUCACUGGCCCGAUACUGACGCUGAGGCACGAAAGCGUGGGGAGCAAACAGG